AAUGUCCAAAUUACUUAAAUGAAUGUUUGAAAAGUCAUUAUUCAUCAACUAUGAUUGAACAAAAUGGAUUAAUA